GCUAAUACCGCAUACGUCCUACGGGAGAAAGCCGGGGGAUCUUCGGACCUCGCGCCAUUAGAUGAGCCUAGGUCGGAUUAGCUAGUUGGUGAGGUAAUGGCUCACCAAGGCGACGAUCCGUAACUGGUCUGAGAGGAUGAUCAGUCACACUGGGACCUGAGACAGGCCCAGACUCCUACGGGAGGCAGCAGUGGGGAAUUUUUGGACAAUGGGCGCAAGCCUGAUCCAGCAAUGCCGCGUGCAGGAUGAAGGCCCUCGGGUUGUAAACUGCUUUGUACGGAACGAAAAGGUUUCUAUUAAUACUAGGAGCUCAUGACGGUACCGUAAGAAUAAGCACCGGCUAACUACGUG
rnacentral:rRNA from 1 species